rnacentral:misc_RNA from 1 species
GAUGAAGAACGCAGCGAAACGCGAUAAGUAAUGUGAAUUGCAGAAUUUAGUGAAUCAUCGAACUUUUGAACGCACAUUGCGCCCGGCGGUACUCCGCCGGGCAUGCCUGUCCGAGCGUCAUUAACAUACCCUCGACUCCCCGAGUCGGUGUUGGGAGACCUCUGCGCCUCUAAGCAGCUCCCCAAGUCUACUGGCGUCGCACGCCAGGGUUACCCCCGCGUAGUAGUUAUACCACCUCGCCCGGGACCCUGCGAGCGCCGGCCACAAACAACCACAGCGCCCUGUGGCUCUAUGGAGCUACUUCUCGCGCUCGAAUAGUUGACCUCGGAUCAGGUAGGGUUACCCGCUGAACUUAAGCAUAUCAAUAAGCGGAGGA